ensembl:misc_RNA Metazoa_SRP Metazoan signal recognition particle RNA
GCCAGGUGUGAUGGCUCCCAGCUACUCAGGAGGCUGAGGUGGGAGGAUCGCGUAAGCCCAGGAGUUCUGGGCUGUGGUGUGCUAUGCCAAUCAGGUGUCUGCACUAAGUUUGGCAUCAAUAUGGUGACCUCCCUGGAGCGGGGGACCACCAGGUUGCCAAAGGAGGGGUGAACCGGCCCAGGUGGGAAACAGAGCAGGUCAAAACUCCUGUGCUGAUCAGUAGUGGGAUGGUGCCUGUGAAUCGCUACUGCACUCCAGCCUGGGCAACAUAGUGAGACCCCCACCUCUU